rnacentral:rRNA from 1 species
GACGAACGCUGGCGGCGUGCUUAACACAUGCAAGUCGAACGGAAAGGCCCUGCUUUUGUGGGGUGCUCGAGUGGCGAACGGGUGAGUAACACGUGUGUAACCUGUCCUUGACUUUGGGAUAACUUCAGGAAACUGGGGCUAAUACCGGGUAGGAGCUCCUGCUGCAUGGUGGGGGUUGGAAAGUUUCGGCGGUUGGGGAUGGACUCGCGGCCUAUCAGCUUGUUGGUGGGGUAGUGGCUUACCAAGGCUUUGACGGGUAGCCGGCCUGAGAGGGUGACCGGCCACAUUAGGACUGAGAUACGGCCCAGACUCCUACGGGAGGCAGCGGUGGAGAGUAGUGCACAAUGGGCGGAAGCCUGAUGCAGCAACGCCGCGUGCGGGAUGACGGGCUUCGGGUUGGAAACCACAUUCGCCUGUGACGAAGCGAGAGUGACGGUAAUGGGUGAAGAAGCCCCGGCUAACUACGUG